UUCCAGACUCCUACGGGAGGCAGCAGUGGGGGAUAUUGCACAAUGGGGGGGACCCUGAUGCAGCGACGCCGCGUGGGUGAAGGAGCGUUUCGGCGCGUAAAGCCCUAUCGGCAGGGAAGAAGAUGACGGUACCUGACCAAGAAGCCCCGGCUAACUCCGUGCCAGCAGCCGCGGUAAUACGGAGGGUGCAAGCGUUGUCCGGAAUCAUUGGGCGUAAAGAGUUCGUAGGCGGUAUGUUAAGUCUGGUGUUAAAUGCAGAAGCUCAACUUCUGUUCGGCACUGGAUACUGGCAAACUAGAAUGCGGUAGAGGUAAAGGGAAUUCCUGGUGUAGCGGUGAAAUGCUUAGAUAUCAGGAGGAACAUCGGUGGCGUAAGCGCUUUACUGGGCCGUAAUUGACGCUGAGGAACGAAAGCCAGGGUAGCAAAUGGGAUUAGAUACCCGGGUA
rnacentral:rRNA from 1 species